AAUAGAUACCCAGGUAGUCCACGCCGUAAACGAUGAGUGCUAAGUGUUAGGGGGUUUCCGCCCCUUAGUGCUGCAGCUAACGCAUUAAGCACUCCGCCUGGGGAGUACGGUCGCAAGACUGAAACUCAAAGGAAUUGACGGGGGCCCGCACAAGCGGUGGAGUAUGUGGUUUAAUUCGAAGCAACGCGAAGAACCUUACCAGGUCUUGACAUCCUCUGACAAUCCUAGAGAUAGGACGUCCCCGUUCGGGGGCAGGGUGACGGGUGGUGCAUGGUUGUCGUCAGCUCGUGUCGUGAGAUGUUGGGUUAAGUCCCGCAACGAGCGCAACCCUUGAUCUUAGUUGCCAGCAUUCAGUUGGGCACUCUAAGGUGACUGCCGGUGACAAACCGGAGGAAGGUGGGGAUGACGUCAAAUCAUCAUGCCCCUUAUGACCUGGGCUACACACGUGCUACAAUGGACAGAACAAAGGGCAGCGAAACCGCGAGGUUAAGCCAAUCCCACAAAUCUGUUCUCAGUUCGGAUCGCAGUCUGCAACUCG
rnacentral:rRNA from 1 species